CCUACGGGAGGCAGCAGUGGGGAAUUUUGGACAAUGGGCGCAAGCCUGAUCCAGCAAUGCCGCGUGAGUGAAGAAGGCCUUCGGGUUGUAAAGCUCUUUUGUCAGGGAAGAAACGGUAGGAGCUAAUAUCUCUUGCUAAUGACGGUACCUGAAGAAUGAGCACCGGCUAACUACGUGCCAGCAGCCGCGGUAAUACGUAGGGUGCAAGCGUUAAUCGGAAUUACUGGGCGUAAAGCGUGCGCAGGCGGUUUUGUAAGUCUGUCGUGAAAGCCCCGGGCUCAACCUGGGAAUUGCGAUGGAGACUGCAAGGCUUGAAUCCGGCAGAGGGGGGUAGAAUUCCACGUGUAGCAGUGAAAUGCGUAGAGAUGUGGAGGAACACCGAUGGCGAAGGCAGCCCCCUGGGUCAAGAUUGACGCUCAUGCACGAAAGCGUGGGGAGCAAACAGGAUUAGAUACCCUGGUAGUCCACGCCCUAAACGAUGUCUACUAGUUGUCGGGUUUUAAUUAACUUGGUAACGCAGCUAACGCGUGAAGUAGACCGCCUGGGGAGUACGGUCGCAAGAUUAAAACUUAAAUGAAAUUGACGNUGAGAGAGCGAGACGACACGAGGAGGAGG
rnacentral:rRNA from 1 species